AACGUAGGGGGCGAGCGUUGUCCGGAAUUACUGGGCGUAAAGGGCGCGUAGGCGGUUAUUUAAGUCAGAGGUGAAAACUACCGGCUCAACCGGUAGCCUGCCUUUGAAACUGGAUGACUUGAGGGCAGGAGAGGGGAGUGGAAUUCCCAGUGUAGCGGUGAAAUGCGUAGAUAUUGGGAGGAACACCAGUGGCGAAGGCGGCUCUCUGGCCUGUUUCUGACGCUGAGGCGCGAAAGCGUGGGGAGCAAACGGGAUUAGAAACCCGAGUAGUCC
rnacentral:rRNA from 1 species